GUGAAUUCCAACGCUCUUUUAAUUGCACUAUGUCCCCUUCACAUGUCUUAAUGCACCACCAAAAGUGGUUUAUAAUUUGCCUGAUCCAAAAAGAAAUGUCAUGACAAUUUUUUUUCUUAGAAAUUGCCACGAGCUUCUUUCUGAGAUUUUUAGCAUAGUGCCAUACAUCAAAUUGAUGUGUAAUGCCACUAUAUUUUUCUCU